UUUUGUAUAAUGGGUCAGCGACUUAUAUUCUGUAGCAAGGUUAACCGAAUAGGGGAGCCGGAGGGAAACCGAGUCUUAAUUGGGCGUUAAGUUGCAGGGUAUAGACCCGAAACCCGGUGAUCUAGCCAUGGGCAGGUUGAAGGUUGGGUAACACUAACUGGAGGACCGAACCGACUAAUGUUGAAAAAUUAGCGGAUGACCUGUGGCUGGGGGUGAAAGGCCAAUCAAACCGGGAGAUAGCUGGUUCUCCCCGAAAGCUAUUUAGGUAGCGCCUCGUGAAUUCAUCUCCGGGGGUAGAGCACUGUUUCGGCUAGGGGGCCAUCCCGGCUUACCAACCCGAUGCAAACUGCGAAUACCGGAGAAUGUUAUCACGGGAGACACACGGCGGGUGCUAACGUCCGUCGUGAAGAGGGAAACAACCCAGACCGCCAGCUAAGGUCCCAAAGUCAUGGUUAAGUGGGAAACGAUGUGGGAAGGCCCAGACAGCCAGGAUGUUGGCUUAGAAGCAGCCAUCAUUUAAAGAAAGCGUAAUAGCUCACUGGUCGAGUCGGCCUGCGCGGAAGAUGUAACGGGGCUAAACCAUGCAC
rnacentral:rRNA from 1 species